UCUGUCUCUCUCCAUCACUCUCUUUUUUCAGGGUUGUAAUAAAAAACAGGCACAAACUGGUUCAAUGCCAAACAUAAAGUAGCAAGCAGAUAACUAACUGAUGCGCUCUCUCUCUCUCUCUCUCUCUCUCUCUCUCGCCGCUCUUUUUCCUUUGAGGAAGUCUUUGAAGUCAGCAGGGGACCCCGCUCUCUCACACUGACGUGGGGGAAUUAAUCACUUGAAAAAUGUGAAAGAUGGAAUCUGGUCACAGAUGUCUCAGAAGCAGCUGUCACCUUUUCUUCUUAACUCUGGCCAACGCUGUCAGUGAACAAAUGGAGGUUCAGGCAGGGUGAAGCAUGUUGGAUCAACAGCUGGUGCGCUGUCUCUCCCACCUAUUAAAGAGAGAGAGAGAGAACACAAGGGACAGCGAAAAAGAUAAAGAGAAAAGGCACUAAUAAGAUAAAUCACUCUCCUCCCUUCUCUUUUGUUCCACAUCAUGCGUUGGCCCGAGAAAAGAGACACCGGAGAGAACAGAGAGUUUCCAUCAGUAUUGAAAGCAAGUUAAUGUGUGUGUGUGUGUGUGUGUGUUACAGUUAUCGUCCUAACAGUUAAACAAACAGUUUGACAAAUUGUUUCCCUCUGGUUAUCUUAAGGUUGUGUCUUUGAUUUUACACUUGAGCUACGAGAAUAAUGUAGCUAACAAACUAAUAGAAGUCUGUCUCACCUAAAAUCUUUCUCACAUCAAAUUCUUCAGUGAUGUCACACACUUGCUUAUAUGGUUUAAGACACAGUGGG